CCUACACAUAAUACCCCUACGACCUAUCUUCAUCUGUUGGCGCUAGUAGCAGCCCAAGAAUUCUAGUCUAGCCGAUUUCAAGUCAUUAGCAACUCCUCUAGUUUAUAACCCGGACGUGAUUGACCGACCUCGACUGUUAGCUAUUUUUUUUAAAGAGUCAAACCGAGCAACCAAAGGACCUUAGGUACAUAUGGAGCUUGCACGGGAGGCACAGUCGUUGUGGGAUAAGGAUCGUGGAUGUUAUUCUAAACACUUGAACUUUAUUUUGGGUUUUCAUAUUAUGCUUCCGCUACUUAAUCAAAGUUUGGUUUGAACAUCAAUUGUAUUGAAUUGGGGUUUUGCGAAC